rnacentral:sRNA from 1 species
GAUGAUUCAGGAGACACGACAAUGAGCAAGCGCAAUAUUCUGUUUACCGCCCUGGUUGCUGCGGCGUUUGCCGCGCCGGGUGCUUUCGCCCAGGAAGUCGACCAGCAGGCGCUGCGUGAUGCCGAGCAGGCGGCGCAGCAGGCCGCUGCGGCGGCAACUGCCGCGGAGCAGCAGGCCGAGGAGGCCGUGACCCAGGCGGACGAGGCCGAGGCCACGGUGGACCAGGCUGAAGCCGAUGCCUGGCAGGCCGAGGAAGAAGAGGAAGAGGAAGAAGAUCCGGCCUGAUCCACGGAUGGAACAGCGGUUCUGAAGCGCCCCGCCUGUGCGGGGCGCUUUCUUUUUUGGGG